rnacentral:rRNA from 1 species
CCCUUAGAUGUUCUGGGCCGCACGCGCGCUACACUGACGGAGGCAGCGAGCAUGUCCUUCGCCGAGAGGUGUGGGGAAUCUUGUGAGUCUCCGUCGUGCUGGGGAUAGAUGGUUGCAAUUGUCGAUCUUGAACGAGGAAUUCCUUGUAAUCGUGAUUCAUCACAUCACGAUGAAUACGUCCCUGCCCUUUGUACACACCGCCCGUCGCUCCUACCGAUCGAAGAGUUAGGUGAAUUGUUUUGAUCGAUAAGAUUUGACUAUGGUCAACUCUCGUUGUGAAAUUCUGUGAAUCUGACUGUUUAGAGGAAGGAAAAGUCGUAACA